GAGUCGUAACAAGGUUUCCGUAGGUGAACCUGCGGAAGGAUCAUUAACGUAUCCAACGUUAAAAACCCCGCGAAUGGCUAAGUCUUGGAUACAGCCAAUGCACUCGUCGGAGAAAAUGCAAGAGAGGGACCUCUGUUUGACAGAGCACUAUGAGUUUAAGAGCGCUUGGUAAGGUGGCUUGUUUUUCCCCAAGCAAUCAGUGAAUGACAGUGUUAUUGAUUGUCUAAGGAUUUCGCUAUACGAUCACUGGAGGUCGAUUACUCCCCAACCCCACUUUCUAUUGCCGCUCCGCGCUAACAACGCCGGCGCAUUCAAAAACGUUUAAACAACUGUUAACAAUGGAUAUCUUGGUUCUC
rnacentral:misc_RNA from 1 species